AAUCCCAAUAGCUAGCCCAACCCACCCAAAACAACAACCAACAUUAAUAAGCCCAAAGACCCAAAUAGUAAACGAAACAAAUCAUUUUUCCCCCUAAGUAUGGGAGACAGAAAAG
rnacentral:rRNA from 1 species